ensembl:lncRNA
CUGAUUCUCAGCGGAGAAUCUUUGUUCUCUCAGAGAGAAUCUUUGUUCUCGCAGAUCGGCCUGGAAUUGUCGGGGAAAAUGGCCGUCCGGAGGAAAAGGAAGGAUAAUAAUAAAGCUUCCGUCGGGAGAAUUUCACAAAAGCAGAGUCACAUUUCAAAGCAGCUGCCGGUCCCCACUGAGGGGACCCGGGAAGAGACAGCCGCAUCUGUGAGCGCCUGUUUAGUUUCUGUCUGAAACCUGCCAGAAUCCGCACGCGGCUGUCAGCCACCAGUUUCCUUUAUGAAAUAUAAAGAUGAUAAUGGACACCUGGCUCCAAAGACUCUGAGCGCCUCCCAUUUCCUAGAUGAAAGCUAAGAUCUUCAGCAUGGAGUGUAAGAUGAUCUUAGCUCCCUAGCCUGCCCCAGACAUGGAUCCUGCUCUCACCUGUUAAAUCUCAGAGCUUCCCAGAAGAUUGCAUCUCAUGAGCCCUGAAACAAGUUCCUCCAGUCCUUCCACCCAGAUUCCUGG